AGCCUUUUGAAUCCGUGCUGAGAUUUCGUCAACCCAAAUAUCAACCCAUUAGGGCUGAUCAGACUUUUAAGAUAAGUGAAGUU
rnacentral:pre_miRNA from 1 species